AACUCUGAGUGGUGGAUCACUCUGCUCACGCGUCAAUGAAGAAUGCAGCUAGCUGUGAGAACUAAUGUGAAUUGCAGGACACAUUGAUCAUCAACACUUCGAACGCACUUUACGGCCCUGGGUUAUGCCCGGGGCUAUGCCUAUCUCAGGGUUG